rnacentral:rRNA from 1 species
UACAGAGGGUGCUAGCGUUGUCCGGAAUCACUGGGCGUAAAGGGCGCGUAGGCGGCCCGGUAAGCAGGGGGUGAAAUCUUGCGGCUCAACCGCAAGGCUGCCUUCUGAACUGCCGGGCUGGAGCACGGUAGAGGCAGAUGGAAUUCCCGGUGUAGCGGUGAAAUGCGUAGAGAUCGGGAGGAACACCAGAGGCGAAAGCGGCGACCUGGACAAGUACUGACACUCAACUACGAAAGCGUGGGGAGCAAACAGG